GAGGGUAUAGCUCAGUGGUAGUGCCUGCUUAGCAUGCAUGAGGUCCUGGGUUCAAUCCCCAGUACCGCCA
rfam:Camelus ferus unplaced genomic scaffold scaffold875, whole genome shotgun sequence.